GUGUUUCUUUCCACGUGGCCAGCGCAGGCCGCCUUGGAGCCGGAUGGACCCCACGGAAAAUGCUCUGCCGGCGAAAGCGGCUGGCAAUGGGGUUGAUUUCAAGGCAGGGAAGAGCCAUCGCGCUGCCCUCCUCGGCUGGGAUGGCGAGACAGGGCUGGCACGGCUCACGCUGUCCGGUGCUCAGAAAACCGGUAAUCGCGGGCCCGAGGCGCUGCUCGCCGCCGUUUUUUGGCCCUGGGUUCCGUCGAGUGGAUCCAGCUUGUCAGUCUUUGUGUAGAUUUGGCUGCGUUCGCUCCGCACUUCGGAGGAGGUGGCGUUUCAUGGGAAGAAAUGCGCUCUAGCAGAUGGCCGCCGUGGCCAGUCAGCCCUGCUGCCACCGACGAAGACGCGGGCGACAGACCUGGACUCUAAAGAAAUCUGCACAGACGUGCCCGGCGCCCUCGGCCUUCCCAGCUCCGCGGCCGCAGCGACGCCGGUUAGGAUGUCGGCCCUGUGGGAGGGGCGCCCUUCCUGGUGCCGGGCCCUAACCCACGACCUGGAACAGCAGCUGGCCCGUGGCAAAUGCUGAGCAUAUCUCCUGAAAGAAUGGCUUCGCCGGUCCCUAGAGAAUGCACCCGAGUUUUGUGGUAUAUACACAUACGUACUUUUUUUCCAAGUAUAUUUUAUUUCUUGGCAAACAUGGCCCUUUGUGAUCGCUGUGUUUCUCUCCUCCCAUCCAUUAUACAACACUAAGUGAUUCAUCAUUCUUUGAACAAAUCAAACUGUUUCACACCUGCCAUGCAUUUGUACCGACCGUGCUCUUCCCUCUACUGCCGCAGCCCCCCAGGUAGAAGUCCUUUUUAUACUUCAAAAAUUCCCACCCAGGCAAAUUUCAAGCACCUUACCCCUACCCCAUCCCACUCUGCCCAUCUCUAAUUGCGCUGGUCUGAACCCGCACAAAUGUCUGUGUAGUUUCUGCACUUCAUAACAGCUUAUAUGACAGUUGCUCCAGCCAUUCUGUGAACCCCUGAGGGGAAGGGCCAGGUCUUGCUAGUCAUUUUAUUUCUAAUGUCUAUCAUCUGGUAGAUGUUUAAUAAAUGCUAAGUUGAAUAAUUCUAUCUUACACAUAUAUUGUAUUUUUAAUUCUCUUUUCAUGUCUUCUGUUUUAGAAGCAAUUCUCAAUUUAAAAACGACAAAACCAAAUAGGAACAAAAAUGAUAAAACUUGAAAACAACAACAACAAAAAAAGCUGCUGAACCAGAGGUUCAGUAUGAGAGGAAUUGCAAAGAACAGUUUUGAAAUCUCUAGGCCUUAGUCAGAUAGAAAUUACAAAUCAAAAAUAUAAUCAGACUCCCUGAGACACUAACACUAGGAAAAUGAAUAAAGUUAACUUGGAGCAGCCCAAGAACAAACUUAUAAGUGCAUGAUGGUAUUUUAUGUGCAAAACUGCUUUAUAAGUACUAUAAGACUAUUACAGGUAUUACCAGUGCCCUCAGUGUAAACUCCUUGGCCCACCCAUGUAAAGUGUACAUCGAGCCCUCAGGGUCCCUGACUGGUUCUCCAGCCGCCCCAUAGGCUAUGAGCAUCCCCGUUCCCUACACAAAGGACCACUGGGAUUUAUUAAAGGUUAUGCCUUGCAAUGCAGUACAAAGUUUUAUAUGAUAGUGUCUUGUUGCCUGUUUCUACAAAAGCCAAGGGUGUAACAUUAAAUGCAAUUUUGCAAGGGGCUGAGGUGAUGUGGUCCAAGUAUGUAAUCACUUCAGGGAGCCAUAUGUGACCUUCAUACACUGUUGAUAAUGGCCAUGCCUCCCAGUCAGGCCUGUGACACCUGCUGGACAGCAGGCAUUCCAAGGCCCCUAAGCACUGAGUUAGCUGGUAAAGGUUAAGGAAAAAGCUGUAUUCUUACUACUUUACUCCAAGGUAGUAAAGUGUAUGGAAGAUGUACCUGACAGAAAUAACUUAAGCAUCCCCUGAGAAUGACCCUGUAUGGCAGAUGCAUCUGACAGCAAUAACUUAAGAAGUGAGGGUUGCCACGUGGAGGCUGCUGAGGGGAGGGUGCUGAGUGAAAGUGCUAUGUAAACUGCAUGCUUUUUAUAAGUGGUUGCAGUUCUGUCCAGCCCGCGGCCACUGGACCACCCUGUAAGGUUCCCCAAAUAAACCCUAUGUUUCCUUCACUAGCUCCAGGUCUCUUCUUUGGCCUCUUGAACCUGGUGCCAUCCCUACUGAAGUUAACAGAGGUCUGGCCCAACCUAAGGGCAUCAUUUUUUAAAGUCCCAUGGAAAAAACUCCCAGCAGAGUUCAGCAUCUGGGAACGGUUGGCAGGCCCCACAGGAACCACAGCUUCUGCCUUUAUGAUGCUGAGAAACACUUCACUGUUGACUUCCCCCAUCUAAGGGGGCCAGAGCUAAAUUUUGGGCAGCUGUGUUUAUCCUGGGGGUCCACAUAUUUGCAUCAUUCUUUCUUCUCAUCGUGAUGUUCUACCUUGUUGGUACUGUUCUCUUCCUUCUUUGUGUGAGUUCCUGUUGUGAGCUUCCCCUUGUUCACUGAGGUAAUGUAGCCAAACAAGGUUAAAAAGCCCCCAGUAAGCCGGGUGCGGUGGCUCAUGCCCGUAAUCUCAGCACUUUGGGAGGCCGAGGCGGGCAGAUCACCUGAGGUCGAGAGUUUAAGACCAGCCUGACCAACAUGGAGAAACCCCGUCUCUACUAAAAAUACAAAAUUAGCUGGGUGUGGUGGUACAUACCUGUAAUCCCAGCUACUCAUGAGGCUGAGGCAGGAGAAUCUCUUGAACCCGGGAGGCGGAGGUUGCUGUGAGCUGAGAUCGCACCACUGCACUCCAGCCUGGGCAACAAGAGUGAAACUCUGUCUCAAAAAAAAAAAAAAAAAGUCCCUAAUAAAGCCAUAUCGUGGGGUAAUGUCUUUAUACAAUAAAUUACCUACUGUAGAGUGUGAUUUUAUUUUCCACUAAAACUUGUGCAAAAAUCAGAAUAGUAGGGUUUUUACCCCUUGACUUCUACUUUGCCCAGAUAACAAAAAUAUAAUCAGAAUAACUAUUUUUUUUAGACAAUCUAAUUUACAAAAUUUUUCCCUCCCAAUAACCAACCAUACACAUCAAAGAUACCUCACGUUUCAGUUCAAACCAAAUAAUAUGAAUUAACUUUCCAGUUCUGUGACUUUUGAAUGUGGGUGCUCUUUGCUACUUCUAAACCCCCAUCACUUAUCAACAGGUUGGAUUCCAGCGAGGGAAUCAGAGGCUAUUUUUAGAUUGUUCAGUACUCAGCUCACCACCCAUAAGACCAUUUCUCCUCUGCGUGUGGCCUAGUUCUUAGAUAUACUGUAAUUUCUUUCUUCCCCAGGACACUUAAGAAACAGUUUCAUUUUCAUGACAGGCAAGGGCUUCAGGAAGAGUCGUUCCACAGGGUCCCUGGAAAUGAAACCUGAAAGAGAAGAAGCAAAUACAGCAGUUUUGAACUACAGGUUAGCAAAAUGAAUGCCCUACUUCAGCAAGCACUUAUUUCUGAAGUAAUAGCCGAAGUAAAACCCAAAUUCUCAUAAAGAUGGUAUUAUGAAUUUCCAUGCCCACUUCUUUCAACUAGCUUCUAACAACUCUAGUUAUAACACUUCACUAUGGGCUGGGCUCUGUGACUGGGGGAAUUUUGAGAAGCAAAUGUCUAGAAUUUAUGUGCCAUAAAGAAGAAUUUUAUUUCAAAGUGUAAGAGACAUGAUUACAAAGUGUAUUCUGUUUGUUUUUUUCAAAUCCUGAGAACCUAUGCAAGUAAAGUGUAUUUUGGGACUGUACUGCCAAACUCAUUGAAAUUAGUGCCACUUAAUGGACAGCCCAGACUACACGGCAUCUCCAGUCCGUCUGCCCCCUGCCACGUGCUGAGCACUGACUUCCAGAAAGUUCCAGGCCAGUAUGUGGUUAUCCAGGAAUUACUGCCAGCCAUGGGGAGCGUUUAGGGAAUUCCCAGAUCCUCAAUUUCCACCUCUUCUCUUUCUUAAGUGAUUUCAAGUGCCCCUUUCCACAUUCAGCCUUCUUCCGCCUUACAAAAGCAAGCUGGACCCCUCACCCAUCCCAAAUUUUACAAUGAUACCUCAUCCCCGAGUGUGAAAUAGAGGGAGUGUGAAACAUAUGGAGUACCAAAUAGAGGGACGUCUGGAAUACUGGUGUAGAUCUGACACCUUCAUAUGUAAGUAGGCUGGUUUCAUUCUUGCUUUCAAUAAAGUUGAAAGAGGGUCGGAAAGGAUUUUCAGUGAAUAGAUCGCUAAGUAUGAUACAAAAUUACUCUGUGUAUUUUGGCAUACAACUUGGAAGGUGGUCCAAAAUUGGAGUGGCAAGGCUAUACCAAAAUUUCUUUCAUGGCUGGGCAUAGUGACUCAUGCCUAGAAUCCCAGCACUUUGGGAGGCUGAGGCAGGAGGAUCGCUUGAGGCUAGGAGUUCAAGACCAGUCUGGGCAACAUGGCAAGACCCCGUCUCUACAAAAAGGUAACAGUAAAAACAACCAUGCGUGGUGACACGAGCUUGUAGUCCCAGCAACUCCGGAAGCUGAGGCGAGAGGAUCACUUGAGCCAGGAGUUUGAAGCUGCAGUGAGUUAUGAUUAUACCACUGUACAGACUCCAGCCUGGGUGACAGAGGGAGCUCCCUCUCUUAAAAAAAAAUAAUUCCCUCAUGCCUAGAGUUUAGGUGGCCCAGGUCUUUCAGUACUUACAUCUAUAAAAAACAACACUGAAGAUUACAAUUGACAUUGAAAAAGUAAAAUUUAGCUUGGCAGGUCAAAAUCUGCCCAGCGAUUCUUUGGAUCAGAAUAAAAGACACGGGUAAAGCCAGCUGCCAAGUUAAUAGGAAACAAUAUAUUUUCCCCUAGGACAAGCUGCAAAAUGUCUUAAUUCCAUUCUUUGAGUGACUACUGCUUUUGGAUUUUGUUCCUUAAUAUUAUAAACUAUUGGAAACAUUGCUAUUUGAAAUUAUAGCAGUAAAGAAUGAAAUAUUCCUCUAGCCUUGAGGAUCUAAGUCACUUUGAUACUGAGAAGCAGCCUGGAUUUCCAACCCAGGUGCAGAGCUUCAGAUAAGGGAUUUCUGGACACAACAUUCCACGUUGAUCUAAACUUGGUAUUAUAGUUUCUGGGGAAGUGGGACCCUGGCCUACUUUGCCAGCCAGACAUGAUGUUGACCCCUUUACAUUGUACAGCCCUGCUAGUUGCUUGAGUCUAUCAAAAACUACUUCAUUCAAAUUUCACUUAAACUUCACCCUCCCCCCAAUUGCUUUAAUAACUCCACCUUUCCCUUAUUGGGAAACACUUCUCAGUUCUACGGGGGUCCGGUCUCCCUCAUUGCAUUAAAUCAAUAAACCUGAUCUUGACAGAA